rnacentral:rRNA from 1 species
AACGAACGCUGGCGGCAUGCCUAACACAUGCAAGUCGAACGAAGGCUUCGGCCUUAGUGGCGCACGGGUGCGUAACGCGUGGGAAUCUGCCCUUUGGUUCGGAAUAACAGCUGGAAACGGCUGCUAAUACCGGAUGAUGACGAAAGUCCAAAGAUUUAUGGCCAGAGGAUGAGCCCGCGUUGGAUUAGGUAGUUGGUGGGGUAAAUGCCUACCAAGCCGACGAUGCAUAGCUGGUCUGAGAGGAUGAACAGGCAAACUGGGACUGGGGCAAGGCCCAGACGCCCACGGGAGGGAGGAGGGGGGAAUAUUGCACAAUGGGCGGAAGCCUGAUGCAGCAACGCCGCGUGCGGGAUGACGGCCUUCGGGUGGUAAACCGCGUUCGCCUGUGACGAAGCGUGAGUGACGGUAAUGGUAAAGAAGCACCGGCUAACUACGUG